rnacentral:rRNA from 1 species
CCGCCGCGCGCGGCGGGCCUACGGGAGGCAGCAGUGGGGAAUAUUGCACAAUGGGCGCAAGCCUGAUGCAGCCAUGUCGCGUGUAUGAAGAAGGCCUUCGGGUUGUAAAGUACUUUCAGCGGGGAGGAAGGUGUUGAGGUUAAUAACCUCAGCAUUGACGUUACCCGCAGAAGAAGCACCGGCUAACUCCGUGCCAGCAGCCCGGUAAUA